rnacentral:rRNA from 1 species
AUAGCGUAUAUUAAAGUUGUUGCAGUUAAAAAGCUCGUAGUUGGAUUUGUGGUUGGGUCUGUCGGUCCGGCACAUUGUGCGGGUACUUGAUGGAUUCGUCCAUCCUUGGGUGGAAUCUGUGUGGCAUUAAGUUGUCGUGCAGGGGAUGCCCAUCGUUUACUGUGAAAAAAUUAGAGUGUUCAAAGCAGGCUUAUGCCGUUGAAUAUAUUAGCAUGGAAUAAUGAGAUAGGACCUUGGUACUAUUUUGUUGGUUUGCGCACCGAGGUAAUGAUUAAUAGGGACAGUUGGGGGUAUUCGUAUUCCAUUGUCAGAGGUGAAAUUCUUGGAUUUUUGGAAGACGAACUACUGCGAAAGCAUUUACCAAGGAUGUUUUCAUUAAUCAAGAACGAAAGUUAGGGGAUCGAAGAUGAUUAGAU